GUUUAUAAUGGGGGCGAGAGGUUGCGACACCAGCCGUGUUCAUAAAGAUACAAGCGUAGCUUAAUUUAAUGAAUACACCGUUGAGGCCUGCGAUGUCUGUUAUGUACUUCUAAUGACGCAUGUUCUCAUACUGAACACAGCAGAAGUUAUCAUCAUGCUCAGCUGCCAGUUGAAGUAGUAGAGGGAAGCAACACACAUUACAUUGUCCCAUCACAAUGAUCCUGGAUUGCAAGAGUCAAGUCGAGCAGGCUUGUUACACCAGAGUUGACACUGGAGAUAAAGGCUGCACUCGGCUGGAAAACUGCUCUCGUCCUGGAUGGGUCUGCUGCAGUAAGAGACUAUGCAAUGCUUGAGCAGCCAAUUCGACCGCAUGCAACACAAGGGCAGCCUAAGGGUCAAUAAAUGCUGAUGUCAUUGCUC